rnacentral:tRNA from 1 species
GGGCCAAUAGCUCAGUUGGCAGAGCCCCCGGCUCAUAACCGGAUUGUCGGAGGUUCAAAUCCUCCUUGGCCCA